GGCCCGACUGGGCCAAGGGCUACUCCCGCCUCGGCGCCGCGCGCCUCGGGUCCGGGGACGCCGCGGGCGCCGUCGAGGCCUACGAGAAGGGCCUCGCCCUCGACCCCUCCAACGCCGCCCUCAAGGACGGGCUCGCCCAGGCCCGUUCGGCCCUCCCCCGCCGCCCGGCCUCCGGCGCCGACGCCAUUGGCAAGAUUUUCCAGGGGGCCGACCUCUGGAGCAAGAUCGCCGCCGACCCCACCACGCGCGCCUACCUCGACCAGCCCGACUUCAUGCAGAUGCUGCGCGAUCUGCAGCGGAACCCCGGCAACCUCAACAACUACCUCUCCGACCCCCGCAUGAUGCAGGUGCUCAGCCUCAUGCUCAACGUCAAGGUCCAGAACCAGAACAAUGAGGCCUCCGAGCCGACGCCGGCCAAGUCGUCCCCGCCACCGCCACAGAAGCAGCCCGAGACCAAGCCGAGGGAGCCGGAGCCCGAACCGGUGGAGAUGACCGAUGAGGAGAAGGAGCGGAAGGAGAGGAAGGCUGCGGCGCAGAAGGAGAAGGAGGCGGGGAACGCCGCUUACAAAAAGAAGGAU
rnacentral:lncRNA from 1 species